rnacentral:rRNA from 1 species
UACGUAGGGUGCGAGCGUUAAUCGGAAUUACUGGGCGUAAAGGGUGCGCAGGCGGUUAUAUAAGACAGAUGUGAAAUCCCCGGGCUCAACCUGGGAACUGCGUUUGUGACUGUAUGACUAGAGUACGGUAGAGAGGGGUGGAAUUCCUGGUGUAGCAGUGAAAUGCGUAGAUAUCAGGAGGAACAUCGAUGGCGAAGGCAGCCCCUUGGACCUGUACUGACGCUGAAGCACGAAAGCGUGGGGAGCAAACAGGG